rnacentral:rRNA from 1 species
AUGCACGCUGGCGGCGUGCCUAAUACAUGCAAGUCGAGCGAACGGACGAGAAGCUUGCUUCUCUGAUGUUAGCGGCGGACGGGUGAGUAACACGUGGAUAACCUACCUAUAAGACUGGGAUAACUUCGGGAAACCGGAGCUAAUACCGGAUGAUAUUUUGAACCGCAUGGUUCAAAAGUGAAAGACGGUCUUGCUGUCACUUAUAGAUGGAUCCUCGCUGCAUUAGCUAGUUGGUAAGGUAACGGCUUACCAAGGCAACGAUGCAUAGCCGACCUGAGAGGGUGAUCGGCCACACUGGAACGGAGACAGGGUCCAGACUCCUACGGGAGGCAGCAGUAGGGAAUCUUCCGCAAUGGGCGAAAGCCUGACGGAGCAACGCCGCGUGAGUGAUGAAGGUCUUCGGAUCGUAAAACUCUGUUAUGAGGGAAGAACAUAUGUGUAAGUAACUGUGCACAUCGUGACGGUACCUAAUCAGAAAGCCACGGCUAACUACGUG